CCUACGUGAGGCAGCAGUGGGGAAUAUUGGGCAAUGGGCGCAAGCCUGACCCAGCAACGCCGCGUGAAGGAAGAAGGCUUUCGGGUUGUAAACUUCUUUUCUCAGGGACGAAGCAAGUGACGGUACCUGAGGAAUAAGCCACGGCUAACUACGUGCCAGCAGCCGCGGUAAUACGUAGGUGGCAAGCGUUAUCCGGAUUUACUGGGUUUAAAGGGCGUGUAGGCGGGAAAGCAAGUCAGAUGUGAAAACCAUGGGCUCAACCUGUGGCCUGCAUUUGAAACUGUUUUUCUUGAGUACUGGAGAGGCAGACGGAAUUCCUAGUGUAGCGGUGAAAUGCGUAGAUAUUAGGAGGAACACCAGUGGCGAAGGCGGUCUGCUGGACAGCAACUGACGCUGAGGCGCGAAAGCGUGGGGAGCAAACAGGAUUAGAUACCCGAGUAGUC
rnacentral:rRNA from 1 species